rnacentral:tRNA from 1 species
GCAGUGUUGAUUCAGUGGUAUAAUUCUCGCCUUCCGUGCGGGGGACCCAGGUUCGAAUCCUGGCCAGUGCA